CAGCAGCCGCGGGAAUACGUAGGGUGCGAGCGUUAAUCGGAAUUACUGGGCGUAAAGCGUGCGCAGGCGGUUCGUUAAGACAGAUGUGAAAUCCCCGGGCUUAACCUGGGAACUGCAUUUGUGACUGGCGAGCUAGAGUAUGGCAGAGGGGGGUAGAAUUCCACGUGUAGCAGUGAAAUGCGUAGAGAUGUGGAGGAAUACCGAUGGCGAAGGCAGCCCCCUGGGCCAAUACUGACGCUCAUGCACGAAAGCGUGGGGAGCAAACAGGAUUAGAUACCCGUGUAGUCCCUGUCUCUUAUAA
rnacentral:rRNA from 1 species